ACUCCUACGGGAGGCAGCAGUAGGGAAUCUUCCACAAUGGACGAAAGUCUGAUGGAGCAACGCCGCGUGAGUGAAGAAGGGUUUCGGCUCGUAAAACUCUGUUGUUAAAGAAGAACAUAUCUGAGAGUAACUGUUCAGGUAUUGACGGUAUUUAACCAGAAAGCCACGGCUAACUACGUGCCAGCAGCCGCGGUAAUACGUAGGUGGCAAGCGUUGUCCGGAUUUAUUGGGCGUAAAGCGAGCGCAGGCGGUUUUUAAGUCUGAUGUGAAAGCCUUCGGCUCAACCGAAGAAGUGCAUCGGAAACUGGGAAACUUGAGUGCAGAAGAGGACAGUGGAACUCCAUGUGUAGCGGUGAAAUGCGUAGAUAUAUGGAAGAACACCAGUGGCGAAGGCGGCUGUCUGGUCUGUAACUGACGCUGAGGCUCGAAAGUAUGGGUAGCAAACAGGAUUAGAUACCCUGGUAGGAUAGCC
rnacentral:rRNA from 1 species